GACGAACGCUGGCGGCGUGCUUAACACAUGCAAGUCGAACGGUGAAGGGACCAGCUUGCUGGUUCUGGAUGAGUGGCGAACGGGUGAGUAACACGUGAGUAACCUGCCCCCUUCUUCUGGAUAACCGCAUGAAAGUGUGGCUAAUACGGGAUAUUCUGGGUCUGUCGCAUGGCGGGCCCGGGAAAGAUAUUGCUUCGGUUGGGGAUGGGCUCGCGGCCUAUCAGCUUGUUGGUGGGGUGAUGGCCUACCAAGGCGGUGACGGGUAGCCGGCCGGAGAGGGGGGACGGUCACACUGUGACUGAGACACGGGCCAGAGUCCUACGGGAGGCAGCAGUGGGGAAGAUUGCACAAGGGGCGCAAGCCUGAUGCAGCGACGCCGCGUGAGGGAUGGCGGCCUUCGGGUUGUAAACCUCUUUCGCCAGUGAAGCAGGCCUGCUCCAUGUGGGUGGGUUGACGGUAGCUGGAUAAGAAGCGCCGGCUAACUACGUG
rnacentral:rRNA from 1 species